rnacentral:snRNA from 1 species
GUGCAAGCUUCGGCAGUACAUAUACGAAAACUGGAAUAAUACAGAGAAGAUUAGAAUGACCCCUGUACAGGUAUGACAAGUGAAUUCGUGAAGCGUUCUAUAUCUUU